rnacentral:ncRNA from 1 species
UAACCAUCCAGAGCGGCCGAGAGACCUGGCUCGUCGACGCCGCAGCAACCCGUGGGGAUUCCCCAGCCGGGUGCUACCGCCAGGACCGAUGGAGA